rnacentral:miRNA from 1 species
GCUCCACCGGCCCCCGCCGCGGCCGGCCGCGGGCUCCACAGCGGCGCCGGCGGACGCGGGGGCGGCGGCGGCGGCUCCGGCCGCCC